CCCCUGUUUAACAAAAACAAGUCUUUUUGAAUUUUUUUUAAAGUCUAGCCUGCCCACUGAAUAAUUUUAAAUGGCCGCAGUAUACUAACUGUGCAAAGGUAGCAUAAUCAUUAGUCUUUUAAUUGAAGGCUGGUAUGAAUGGUUGGACGAGAUAUUAACUGUUUCAUAAAAAUUUAUAAUAGAAUUUUAUUUUUUAGUCAAAAAGCUAAAAUAUAUUUAAAAGACGAGAAGACCCUAUAAAUCUUUAUAUUUAGGUUAUUAUAAUUUUAUAGAUUUUUUUUGUUAUAAUAAUUGAUAAUAUUUUAUUGGGGUGAUAUUAAAAUUUGAUAAACUUUUAAUUGUUUAAAUCAUUAAUUUAUGAAUAAUUGAUCCGUUAUUAGUGAUUAAAAAAAUAAGUUACUUUAGGGAUAACAGCGUAAUUUUUUUGGAGAGUUCAUAUCGAUAAAAAAGAUUGCGACCUCGAUGUUGGAUUAAGGUAUAAUUUUAGGUGUAGCCCGCUUAAAUUUAAGUCCGCUCGCCUUUUAAAUUCUUACGUGAUCUGAGUUCAUACCGG
rnacentral:rRNA from 1 species